GGAGGUUCUAACAUGAGUUGAAAAAGCUAAGCCCUAAAGGGUUUAAUUUAGGAGACCGGUGGCGAUGUUGUAGUUGAGCAGUGUAACUAGGAAGGCUUUGGUCCAACAGACCUUCGGACUGGAUAAAUGCUCCUGGGAUGAUUUAGCCUAGGCGAGGAAGCAGAAAGAUAGAGGUUCAAAGAUUUUACUUCCUGCUACUGUGGCAACGUGGGAUUUGAGAGUCACUGUCAUCCAGUGUCACGUGAAUAGGGUGAGACGGUGGCCCUUGCUGGGCCAGCCCCAGCCCCUCUGCCCUCCUGCUGCUGCUGGAGUGCAGGCGCGAUCUGGGCUCACUGCAGCCUCCACCCCCUGGCUCAAGCCUCCCACCCCAGCCUCCCAAGUAGCUGGGAUUACAGGUGCGUGUCACCCAGCUAAUUUCUGUAUUUUCUUUUAGAGACAGGGUCUUGCUAUGUUGCUCAGGCUGGCCUGGAUCUCUGCAGUUCAAGCAAUCGGCCAGUCUCCGCCUCCCAAAGUGCUGGGAUUACAGGCAUGAGCCACCUUACCUGGCUAUUUUUUUGUAUUUUUUUGCAGAGAACUCCUGGGCUCAAGCAAUCCUCCUGCCUCGAUCAUUUGUUUUUAAAUGAGCCUGUAUUGCCUGUAAUUUUCAAGACGGUAUAGAGCUUACAGAAAAAGUAUGAAAAGUGCAAGUGUUUUUUUAGAUAGCAACUAUUGCUUAGCACUCAACAUAUUUCCUUUAUCCGUCUUCCCUUCCCCCUUCCUUUCCUCCUUCCUCCUCCCUCCCUUUCUUCCUUUUUUCAAAUUAACCUUUAGGCCAGUUGCUUAGGCCAGUUGCUGAUACUUGGCUGUGGUGUUUGCAUAGCUAGCUUGCCCUGAUGUAACUGUACAUGUAAUCAGCGUCUGCCACUUUGAUGGAAGUUUCCUAGUUUAGAAACACCUGUCUCUGGAUUAUAAUGAAACAACACAGAGGCUAAAUAAUAAAACCUCAGGGAAUCAAGACAUGUAAAGCCCAGAAUUUUAAAUAAAUAAGGUUUAUGGAACACUAAAAACAAAUAUAUUGGACUUUCCAUGGAGAAUACUUUAUCGUUGGUUAUACUGAAGAUAAAUGUUAACAACACAAAUAACAUGCAAAUACACACUCUUAGUAUCCAAACAUUGAUUUUAUUUGGCUUGCAGCAUUGAUGUUGUAAUGCUAGCAUUCACUGACAUUUAAUU
rnacentral:lncRNA from 10 species